CAGUGACUGAGUCAAGUAAAAGAUAAAAGGUUAAAAGAAUUACUUGGGUCGCUGAGAGAUUUACUCCCUGUUCAACGGUAUUCAUCCGAUCAGGUCCAUUGAUUAACGUUAGGUAGGUAGCAAAGUCCUUUUCGUCUAUUAUAUGUUCCUGGGGGACGGUAUGCUCUUUAACUCUUUCUCUCUUUCCCUAUCUCUGUCAGUCUAUAUAUCUGUCUCUCUCUCUGUCUCUCUCUGUGUCUUUGUCUCUCCCUGUUACAUCUCGAUUCUUCUUCGUUUUACAUUUUAAACUGAUAUCAUUUAUAAAACCGUAGCCCUCUUUCUUUUCGCUAGGGACAUUGGUUUGGUGUCACUUUGGAUGUCAUUUCGUGAUUUGUCUCGAUCACUUUAUCACCCCGCCACCACCACCACAUCACUUAUAUAUGUGGGUGUGUGUGUUUGUGUGUUGACAACAGGUGUUGGUGUUUGCGUCCUCGUAACUUAGCGGUUCGGCAAAGGAGUCCGAUAGAAUAAGCAGCAGGCUUUUAGAAAAAAGUACUGGGGUCCAUUCUUUCGACUAAAAAUUUUUUCAAGGUGGUGCUCCAGCAUGGUUGCAGUCUAAUGGCUGAAACAAGUAAAAGAUAAAAGAUACUACCACUACCACCACCACCACCACCACCACCACCACCGUCACCAUCACCACCACCACCGUCACCACCGUCACCACCACCACCACCACCACCACCACCACCACCACCACUACUACUACUACUACAGCACCGCCACCACUAACCCCCACCCCCAUCAAGUUAUCACUUGGGUCAUUUCACUGACUCACCAUCAUUCAAGUGAACCCAGUCAGUCACCUCCAGUCUGGCUAAAUCUGAAGAAGUGCAGACACAUAGACAGACAAACUGACAGACAGACAGACAGACAGUCGACUUCGGAAGAAUUUCAUUGAGAAAGAAUGUCUCAGGCAAACAUGGCUUCUCUUCCCCCUCUCUCACUCUCUCUAUUACCACUUCGCACCCAUCACCAUCUUCUAUCUCUCUCUUAUCUUCUCUACCCUGUCUCUCUCUCUCUGUCUCUCACUCUCUUAUCUUCUCUACCUGUCUCUCUCUCUGUCUCUCUGUUUCUCACUCUCUUAUCUUCUCUACCUCUCUCUCUCUGUCUCUCUGUCUCUCACUCUCUUAUCUUCUCCGUCUGUCUGUCGGUCGGUCGGUCUGUCUCUCUGUCUGUCUGUCUUUAUGUCUCUCUGUUUCUCUCUCAUUUUCUUAUCUUCUCUGUCUGACUGUGUGUGUGUGUGUGCGUCUAUCUGUCUGUCGUCUCUCUCUCUCUCUCUCUCUCUCUCUCUCUCUCUCUCUCUCUCUCUCUCUCUUCUCUGUCUGACUGUGUGUGCGUGUGUGUGUGUCUAUCUGUCUGUCGUCUCUCUCUCUCUCUCAUUUUCGAUUACCGCCGGAAUGCCAUCGCAUAGUUUUCAUUUGUUCGUUAAAUCGUGUUGUAGAAUUAUGCAUGCAGAAUUGGUAGAGCGUCGCCAAAAAUGCUUAAUGGUAUUUCGUCUGCGGUUACGUUCUGAGUUCAAAUUCCGCCGAGGUCGACUUUGCCUUUCAUCCUUUCGGGGUCGAUUAAAUAAGUACCAGUUACGCAUGACUGUGUGGUAAGAAGCUUGCUUCUCAAUCAUAUGGUUCAGGGUUCCUUCCUACUAUGUGGCACCUCAGGCAAGUUCCUUCUACUAUAACCUCGAGCUGAUCAAAGCCUUGUGAGUGGAUUUGGUAGCCGGAAAAAAAAGCUCCUCGUAAGAGUGUGUGUUUGUUCCAGCUAAACGUUCUCAGUUCAAAUCCCGCCAAGAUCGACUUUCCCUUUCAUCUGUUCGGGACCAAUACAAUAAAGUGUCAGGCAUGACUGUGUGGUAAGAAGCUUGCAUGGCCACAUUCUAAUGGUUGAAACAAGUAAAAUAUAAUAUAUAUAUAUAUAUAUAUAUAUAUAUAUAUAUAUAUUUUUUUUUUUUACUUGUUUCAGUCAUUUGACUGCGGCCAUGCUGGAGCACCGCCUUUUGGUCGAGCAAAUCGACCCCGGGACUUAUUCUUUGUAAGCCCAGUACUUAUUCUAUCGGUCUCUCCCGCCGAACCGCUAAGUGACGGGGACGUAAACACACCAGCAUCGGUUGUCAAACAAUGCUAGGGGGACAAACACAGACACACAAACACACACACAUAUAUAUAUACAUAUAUACGACGGGCUUCUUUCAGUUUCCGUCUACCAAAUCCACUCACAAGGCAUUGGUCGGCCCGAGGCUAUAGCAGAAGACAUUUGCCCAAGAUGCCACGCAGUGGGAUUGAACCCGGAACCAUGUAGUUGGUUAGCAAGCUACUUACCACACAGCCACUCAUAUAUAUAUAAUUUGAAACUGACUUAUUGGAAGUCCACCUGAAGAUUGUCGAUCAAGACAAGAAACAAUUGUAGUGGCGGUUUUUUUGACUAUUUAUUAAAAUUUUAUGUAUUGAUUAAGUCUUUCCUUGUUUGUUUUGCAAAAUAGUGGUUUUGUCUCUAAUAAUAUUUUAUAAUAUUUUACUAUAAAAUUGGAUUUAAUCCUAAAUCUGAUUUUUUUCCCUGUAAAUUUGGAUUUAUUCCCUAAUAUUUAUUAUUAUAUAUAUAUAUAUAUAUAUAUAUAUAUAUAUAUACAUAGUUAAAUGUUAUAGAAAAAGACGAUGACAUGUGUAUAAACAACAAAUAGGUGUAUUAGUUUAACGCUCUGGAAGGUGAGAAAAUCUUUUACGUUUCGAGCCUACGCUCUUCAACAGAAAAGAACACGAUGAAAUAAACGGAGUGAGAAUAUAUAUAUAUAUAUAUAUAUAUAUAUAUAUAUAUAUAUAUGCAUAGCUACAGGUUUCUGCCACCCCAGCACUCGAUUUUGGAUGGUCAUAACUUUCAGAAAAAUGGAUAUUCUGUAAUGAAAUUUUCUACGAAUAUGUGUUAUAUCAUGCAGAUUCCGAAUAUACAAACUUUUGCGGAGAAAGUAUUUUAGGAGGGAGUGGGUGGAGAAUUUCGGAAAAUUCACCGAUGUCUAUUUCAAUUCGUCUUAACUUUCAAGAAAAUGGACAUUUUUCAAUGAAAUUCUCUACAAAUAUGCCUCGGAUUAUGUAGAUUCCGAGGACAUAGGAAUUUGGGGAGAAAACAAUUGGGUUAUUUUUGAGAACCAUUCCCCACUCGGGGGUGUUUCGGAACAAGUCGUCCAUAUUUGUUUUAUUUUCUCCGUUUUAUGCAUUUGUGCAUCCGUAGAUUUUACCACACACACACACACACACACACACACACACACACACACACACACACAUGUACUUUUACAUAAAGCGGGAAAAAAUCGUAUGCAACAGAUAAGUCGUCUUAAUAGCAUAUUUCUCUGUACUAGACUGUUAGCUGUUAUUUUUAGAAUAACGAGAUUUCUGAUGAGGGCUUCCUUUGCUCUCGUUGCCUAAGACGAAUUGAAGUGGACUCCGGUGACUUUUCCCAAAUUUCCCACCCCACCCCCUCGUAAAACACUUUUCCCCUAAAGGUAUAUUCGGAAUCUACAUGAUAGAAUACAUAUUCGUAGAAAAUUUCAUUAGAAAAUAUCCAUUUUUCUUAAAGUUAUGAUUAUCCAAAGUCGGGGUGAGGAGUGGGGCAGAAACCUGUAGUUAUGCCUACACACACACACACACACACACACACACACACACACACACACACAGACACACAGACACACACACAAACACACACGCACACAGACACACACGCACACGCACACACAUAUAUAUAUGAUAGGUGCAGGAGUGGCUGUGUGGUAAGUAGCUUGCUUACCAACCACAUAGUUCCGGGUUCAGUCCAACUGCGCGGAACCUUGGACAAGUGUCUUCUACUAUAGCUUCAGACCGACCAAAGCCUUGUGAGUAGAUUUGGUAGACGGAAACUGAAAGAAGCCCGUCAUAUAUAUAUAUAUAUAUAUAUAUAUAUAUAUAUAUAUAUAUAUGUGUGUGUGUGUGUGUAUAUGUAUUUAUGUUUGUGUGACUGUGUUUGUCUCGCCACCAUCGCUUGACAACCGAUGCUGGUGUAUUUACGUCCCUGUAACUUAGCGAUUCGGUAAAAGACACCAAUAGAAUAAGAACUAGGCUUACAAAGAAUAAGUCCUGGGGUCGACUUGCUCGACUAAAGGCGGUGCUCCAGUCAAAUGACCCGAACAAGUAAAAGAAUAAAAGAAUAUAUAUAGCAAGAGAGAGAGAGAGAGAGAGAGAGAGAGAGAGAGAGAGAGAGAGAGAGAGAAAGGAAGGGAGAAACAAAUACUGAAAAUAUUCAGAUGAACAUUCAUGUAUAAGCAUAUAAAUAUUUGUAUAUUUACAGAACAAAUUUGCAUGGAACACAAAAAAAAUGUAGAAAAGUAAGGGGCGAGGGCAUAGAAUUUCAGGUUCGACAGCUGUUUCUGGUGCGCGGAAUUAUGUAAUAAUUGUAAUAUUGAUAAAUGGAGUGUGCAAAAAGGCGAGGAUAUACCUCAAGUGUGUAUGCAUAUAAGCCGUCUUCAGAGUGGAGAGAUUAGCAUCUAGAUUGAUAUAUCCGUAACUUUUUGCACACUCCAUCUGGCAUACUGAUAUAGGUGAACAAGAGUUACCUCCCUUAGCUUAAAGUUUUUACUUAGGAAUCUAGUGGUUCUUUUAUCGUUUUCAUUCACCAGACUGCAACUGCGCCUUGAAGUAUUUUAAUCGAACAAAUCGAUAUCAGUUCUUUCUUUUUAAUGCCUAGUACAUUUUUUGUUUCUUUUACCAGUUCCAAAAAUGUUUAUAAAUUCUUAUGACCUCAGUAAUGUAUGUAUGUAUGUAUGUAUGUAUGUAUGUAUGUAUGUAUGUAUAUACAUACGUAUGUAAGUAUGUAUAUACAUACAUGCAUUCACAUAUAUAAGCGUAUGUAUAUAUAUAUACACAUACACACAUAUAAGCAUAUAUACGUACAUAUAUAUGCAAGUAUACACAAGCAAAUGCAUACAUCUUAUAUAUAUAAUAAAACGGAAGAUGUGUGUGUGUGUGUGUGUGUGCCUUUUUCUUGAUCCCCCUAAAAUCAAUAUAUUUUAUACAAUUUCGUUCACACUGGGAACAAACAUCAUUUAUGUUCCAGAGAUGGUCAUAGAUUCUUCAAAUUUUCCACAUAAUGAGUAAUGCCGCCGCAGGGGACGAAGACACCUUCUAGGUAAAUAACAAAUACCAACGAUCAUUGCUUUAAGGGACAUUACUCUUGAUGAUGUGGUUAUGCUACUUUCACUUCGUCUUCAACUACAGUUAUUACAAUGCCCCUCACUACAAACUGCUGAUAUUUGCAUAUUAGCAUUUCCUUGAUGUAGCCAUGCAAUUUAAAUAAACAUUCAUUUAUUUUUUAAAUAUCUUCAGAAAUUAAUUCAUAUUAUAUAUAGUCUCUGCUUUUACUCAUACAAAGUCGUAACAGUUAUACAGUUUUACAAUACCCAUUCAUUGCAGACUGCCGAUAUUUGCACGUUAGAACAGGGCUGUUCUUGCACCUACAAAUGCAGCUGUCACCACUCUUAACUAUAACUUACUAAGUAAGCUACCUUCUCAAGAACGUUGUUACAGAUCAGUAGACACCGUUACCGACCUCGAUCAAGUUACAUACUUUCCAAUAGAAUUUCUCAGGAUUACCUCCUCAGGACUCCCUCCUCAUGAACUUCACUUGCCCAGUCAUUCUCUUAUGCAGUUUAAACGCACCCACACUAUGUGGUAAAACAAAUGCUGGACCACGUCAUUGAAGCCCAAAUUAUCACGGGACACGGCAAAAAUGAUACCGUUUUUAUUACGAAAAUUCCGCUAAUCCCAACAGACUGUCCCUACCGUAUCCAGAGAAUUCAGUUCCCUCAAACUCAGCCUCGCCAUGACAAUUAACAAAGCAGAAGGUCAGUCGCUGAAAGUUGUCGGAUUGGACCUUCGAACGUCAUGCUUUUCACAUGGACAGUUCUAUGUCGGUUGUUCCAGGGUUGACCAUCCAGAAAACUUAUUUAUCUAUGCUCCUGAAGGAAAAACCAAAAAUGUCAUCUACAAAACAACCCCACAGUAGUUACUCCUCUACUGCAAUCUUCACAUCUACGUCAAACUGUAGCCGUUAGCAAUCAGAUUUCUUACAAGAACAUUGAUAUUUUGCUUCAUUUCCAUGAUUGCUGUGUACAUUACCUUCAAUGAACCUUCUUACUUCACGCAUGCUGUUCACUCGUAAGCGUGCUCUGACAUUUGUUUUUGUACAUGCCAUUAUUGUUUGUGUGUUUGUUAUAAAUGUUUACUUUUGUUUAUCAAUGAAAAAGUUUCAAUUCGGUUGUGUCAGACAUUACGAGUAAAAUAACUGCAUGUCACAAAAUACUUCAGGUAAGAUAUAGGGUUCCUAAUGCCUACUAAAUUGCGAUCUCAUUUCAUGGACUUUCAUUUAUUACUAACUGCCAAAUUUGUGUUGAAAAAACUUUAUCAUUACGCUUUUUUUUAAAUACCAUAUAAUAAACUGCUAACGAAAUCGGUAAUUAUAAAUUUUACGUUUAUCAACUUGAAGCGACUUCUAACUGCAGGCUAAUUAAACUUAAACCGUCCAAAGGAGUGCGCCUUUAUAAUAAAUUACACUGUCCAAAGGACGGGUGCGUUUGCUAGUAUAUAUAUGAAAACCUCUAUAGUAGACCGACCAAAUUUUCCUAUUUCUCUGUUGGUUGAAGCAAUGAGGAACAACCUUAAUUAAAGGUGUCUACAUCACAUGACCAAUACUAGAGAAAAAAACAGUCAGUUAGUUUAUGUACACAUUGAAACUAGUAGCUCUAGAGCACUGGAGCUACUAAUUUGCAUACUCAAUAUCAACGGCCUGUCAGCGAAGAACUCUGGUUCACAAAGUGUCAAAGUAUGGUGUAGUAGUGUCCCAAAUAUAAGUAACAUGAGGACGAGGUAAAAAAAAUUAAAAAUCCUGAGUUUACGCCCAGGAAAUAGGGGACACGGAGACUUAGAAGGAAAAGUUUUUUUAUGUUUCGAGAAUACGCUCUUCUUCCCAAAGAAUUAACAAGGCGAGAAAAAAAAUAUGAAGAAAAGACCACCAGUGGGUCUAUCGAACGAUCACAUCAUAGCGAGCUGAGAGAAUCAUUUACACGUCUGACAAAAUGCAUAGUGACAUUUCUUCCUGCUUCUUGCGUUGUUAGUUCAAAUCCUGCCGAGAUCAGCUGCAUAAUUCAUUCUUUCGAGAUGCAUAAAAUAAGUACUGAGGUCGAUGUAAUUGACUAGCCCUCUCCCACAAAAUUUCAUGACUUGUGGCAAUGGCAGAAAGAAAAUACAUGUAUAAGAGUUUAAUCUGAAGGUAGGGACAUAUAUAUCCAUGGUCUUGGCAGCAACCCCGAGCGCUUUCUGAUCGCCGUGGUUAACGCUAAUGCUUUUAUUGAACAGUUUACUAACAAUUUACUUAUAUGCCAUUCAUUCAUUUCACUUCUAAUGUCAUUUCUAGGACAUUCAUUCAUUUAUGAAGUAUUGGCUUACUUUGACUAGACACCAAGGAUCGAUCUGCUCCGCGUGUUUGUGUAUUUGUUGGAGUAAAUGUAAUUGAUGCUUUCCCUGAAAGCUUUAGCGACGAAAAUAAAUAGAAAAUGUUACACUGUCAACAGCAGCCAUCUUGGGAAAUAAACAGAAAAGUGACUGUUUUGAGAAUUGUAUCGUAGUGUCAUGAAUGUCAUGAAAGUGUCUCGGUUGUUUGAAGGUGAUUAAACAUAUAGCGACAGUGACACAAACACGUGUGUGUGUGUGUUUAUACAUACAUACAUACAUACAUACAUACAUACAUACAUACAUACAUACAUACAUACAUACAUACAUACAUACAUACAUACAUACAUACAUACAUAUGUGUGUGUGUGUGCGUGUGGUGGCACAAUGGCCCAGUGUUUAGGGCAGCGGACUUGCGAUCGUAGAAUUGCGGUUUCGAUUCCCAGACCGGGCAUUAUGAGUGUUUAUUGAGCGAAAACACCUAAAGCUCCACGAGGCUCAAGCAAUGAGUGGUGGUGAACAUAGUCAGUAGUGGUGUCCCACAAGGUGCUGUGUUGGGCCCACUCCUCUUCAUUAUCUACAUCCAUGACACAGUAGACGUCAUCAAACACCCUACAUUGAAAAUCUUUGCAGAUGAUUCCAACCUCCAGAAAGCCAUAAACAGUAUGGAAGACCGAACAUGCCUUCAGUCGGAUCUGUUUGCUGUUGUCUAAUGGACGGAAAAAUACAAUAUGCUUCUAAAUGUAGAUAAAUUUAAUUUGAUCCACUUUAGAAAAGAGGAUACUCUGAAACUAUCAUACGCUCUUCCCUCGGGUGACUCCCUAGUGUCAUCCAACAACACCAGAGACUUUGGAACAAUCGUUGAUGACAAUUUAAGCUGGAGUUCCCACGUAAACAGCAAGGUUAACUUGGUCCGCAAGAUGUGCUUCUGGAUUCUGAGAACUUUCCGGUCUAGAUGCUCACACCAUCAUCCUUCUCUACUCUACUUUUGCCCGACCCCACCUUGAAUACUGUUGCCCGCUGUGGUCUCCUCAUACGAAGCGACUCAUUAUGGAAGUGGAAGCACUCCAGAGGUCAAUAACAAGAGAGUUAGACGACAUGUCAGGCAUUGACUAUUGGGAUCCACUAAAAAUACUCAGUCUCUACUCUCUCCAACGCCGCCGGAAGCGCUACAUCAUUUGUGUGAUGUGGAAAAUAUUCCAUCAAUAUUUCACAAAUGAUGCUGGCAUCAAUUUUAAAAUCCAUCCAAGACUUGGCCCCCGUACUAUCCACCCACUACAAAAAUCGAACUCAGGACACAUAACGUUACGUCACAACUACUUUACCUCAACUGGUCUAGCUUUCUUUAAUACCAUACCAAAAUAUGUCAAAACGGAAACGGAUCCCAUAAAACACAGAAGUUCACCGGACAAAUUUCUUCAAAAAAUCCCGGACCAGCCUCCUACACCCGGACAUGUCUCCAACAAUAAUAACUCUUUGCUAGAGUGGGCCUUGGUGCCCUAUAUAUGACUGAAAGACUUCACCAGGUAGUGCUAUCAAGUUAGACAUAGCCUGGGCCUAUACUGGCCGAAAUCUAUCAAAGUUAUCAAAGCUAUCAUAUUGUCAGAAGAGUGUGUAUGCACUCAUACAUACACACUCUUGCACACACACAUAUAUAUAUAUAUAUAUAUAUAUAUAUAUAUAUAUUGUUAUAUUUCGGAAUAGUCAUUUUGCCAGUUUAGCCAAUAAUGGUAUUAAAAAAUCUUGCACAACAAAUAUUUAAACGUAUAUAUAUAUAUAUAUAUAUAUAUAUAUAUAUAUAUAUAUAUAUAUAUAUAUAUAUAUAUAUAUAUACCAGUGGCGACUCCGGCACUCGGGCUGUUCGGGCUUAGCUCGAGUAUCAAUUUAGUAAAGUGAACGUGUAUUUGCAAGUUGAUUUCAUUUCUAACAACACUGACUUCAAGUGUGUAAUUUCAGUCAAUAACACGAGCUCCUUUUACUGUGCUUAGUCGCAGUUCAUUUCGUUCAGUGUUUGGCGGUGUCUUAGAAGUGCCCUGUGUCAAAAAAUAUCAUUCGUAGCAGACGUUCUCUCGACAUCGUUCACACGCACCUAACUCGUACUCAGAAGUUACGGCCCAAGUUGUUAUCUAUAAUCGUAAAAAUUAAAAGUAAUUCAAAUUCAGUGUUUUCUUGAAACAAUAACUUUCUAUAGAGAUUAGUAUUUAAAUUCCAAUCUAUGAAAAGUUUCCGUUCUACAAUAUUCUUAAAGGAACGAAAUAUUAUCCAGCAACUCGGGCUAAUACGAACGAGCCUAGUGGGUGUAUAAAAACUAACUGGCAUCUCUUGUCAAGAGUACAGGCAACAGUCAGAUCACUGAUGUUUGCUGUGCACUCCGCUGUCGUUAUUUGAUUGCUGUUAUUCGAUGCGUCUGUGUGUAAAGAUCAGUUGUGUUUUGCAGGGUUGCUUUAUUUUAACCCUUAACUUAGAAAUGAAGAAAGACAUAGUGCAAGAUAUAAAAAAUAAGCCAUUUGGGGCUAGAAAUAAAGCGGAAAGCGUGAAAUUCUUCGAGUAGACGUGUCUUAUGCGAAAUCUGUCAUAGCCCGAGUGACGCUGAUAACCUUGAGUCGCCUCUGGUAUAACUAUAUGUGCGUGUAUGUGUGUGGUGUAUGCAUAUUUGUGUUUGUUUUUACCUCUCCCCACCACCACCACCACCACCACCACCACCACAUUGGUUUCUUUAUGUUCUCGUAACUCAGAGACCGAUAGUAGAAGUAGCAAACUACUUAAAAAAAAACAAAGCACUGAAAUCGAUCUGUUCGAUUUGUUCAAAGCGGUAUCCCAAUAUGGCCGUAGUCCAGUGGCUGAAAGCAAGCUAAAGAUAAAGAUAUUUACACACACACACACACACACACACAAACACACACACACACACACACAUACAUACAUACAUACACACAUACAUACAUGCAUACAUGCAUGCAUACAUACAUACACACAUACAUACUUACAUUCAUACAUAUGUAUUUAUAAACAUAUAUGAAUAUACAUACACACACACAGACACAAACGCAUAACGCAUGACAUACUUGUGCACAAGUCAGUGCAUGUGCAUUUUGUAUAUGACCGUACACACACACACACACACACACACAUACAUACAUACAUACAUACAUACAUACAUACAUACGUGUGUUUGUGUGUCAACAUAGUCGUAAGUAUCCUGUUACAAUAACAGAUCGAAUUUUGAAGUUAAAACUGAUCACAGUACGUAAUCGAUACUUACCAAACAGUUCGUUGGUGACCAUGGCAACGUCAUGAUACGCUAUGCUAAGCUAAGCUAAACCGAGACAUCAAAAGAUUAUUCGUCUUCAAGAUCGAAUUCAUACAUAAAAUAACAAUGGAAACGCGUCCUCCCUUCCCCCACCUCGCUGUGUCUGAGAUUUCGCAGACCAUGGCUACUUGUUCGCAUAUGAGAUCAAUAGAACAGAUCUUUACUGGCUACCUCUGCACUGUAACCCACUGAAAUGUGUUAUGACGAUGUUGCUUUUUUUCUGUUUUUUUUUCUUGACAGAGGUGAACUAGUCAAGUGAAGGCGUAUGGCCUAGUGGUUAGGAUGUUGCACUUACGAUCUGAAGAUCGUGGAUUCAAUUCUCGACCGGGUGCUAUGUUGUGUUCUUGAACAAAAAAAUAAAACCCCUCAGAGGCUAACUCUACGACUGACUAGCAUCCCGUUGUGGAGGUGGGGUGGCAUGUUGUGAUAUUGGUUACUUAUCCACUAUAGAAACUGGGCGACCAACCCUAUGAGUCCUAUGACACUAGAUAAUAAUGCUAAAGAGAUGAUGAUAAUGAAGUAUUCUACCUAGUGAUCUGUAGCGAAUUUACACUUGGAGAGGCCUUAAUUUAGGAGUUUAGUUCAUGGAGUUUAGAACAGCGAGAAUCCAAACAUUAACGUGGCUAUUAUUUUCCAAUACAUUUUGGCAGAUUCGAACGUGAAUGUGUGAUGGCUGUCGUUUUCCGUCAUCGGAGACUACUUUUCUCUUUAGACAAUGUGGCUCAAAACACGCGUGAAUUCACCGGUGUAGCAGUGCAGGAUUAUUGCAUGACCCAUAUGUAACCGUGGUGGCUGUCAAGCAUCGACAUACAAGUUACCGAAUCACCUUCUCCGUUGCGUUUGUUGUUGGGUGUAGUACAUUGGAACGGUGUACCUCAGUUGCUAUUUCUAAGGUACUUAAGAUAUCACUAUAUGGUACUAUAGAAGUAGAUGCUUGUGGACGCCGCGGCAUAAUGAAAGAGUUCUGCUAAUAAAAUUAAGGGAUUACACCUGUUCGCUUUAUGUUCGUUUUAUGAAAUCGUGGGAUGUCACUAUCGUCACUUUCGAUAAUUUUACUUCCAUUUUUUAAAAACCCUACAAAUUGCAUAUUAACCACAAUAGGUACUGACCAUACUAACAACUAAAAUAAAUCUCUAGCAUUAUGGCACUGGCGUAAAAUAUAGAAUAUUAUAAAUUAUAUAUAUUAUAUAUCUAUAAAUAUAUAUCUUAUAUACAUAUGUAUGUGCUCUCUGUGCAUGCUUGCGUGCGCGUGUGAGUGUGUAUAUAAUAAACAUAUAUGCGUAUGUAUAUAUGUAUGCAUGUAUGUAUACAUGCGUGCAUACAAAUGCUGCAAUAAGAUGAGGGUUGGAACGAAUAACUACACCGCAUAGUGACAGCGGUUUUUGUUCGAGAUAAAGAAGAAGAAAAAAAAACUCAUGUGGACGCGCUGUGUUUAAAAACACAACAUAUAUCGGUAGGAGAUUAAAAAUAGUUCCGGGCGGCAGCGAGAACGGAAGAUGCAUUACGGUCUUUUGGGGCCUUUUCAGUUACUUGUACUGGCUGAGGUUGACGAGGUUUGUCGCUUCCGAUAUGUAGUAACUAUAAAUAAUGCAUUUACUGGUUGUAUUGCGAAAAGCCACCGGGAACGUUUCCCUUCUCUACAGCUUGUUUUUAAAUACUGCCCAUCCAUUAGAAAUUUUAUUCCAGACGAAACCGUAGUAACUUGUCGUUCAGCAAUGUAAUUUACAUUAAGUAUGAUGCACAGAUAGCUAUUUAAAAAAAAAUUAAUACUGCUUCAGUUGCAUACACCGGAUUAUUUUUAUUCUGAGUAGACAUGAAUGACAGAUAUUUUAGAGGAAUCGAACUGAGAAAUUUGAUGUUUAAAACCUUUGACGUUUAAAACCUUUGUUAGAGGGCUUUCGUAUCGUUUAUGAAAGGAAAUCGGAACUAUGUUUGCAGUCUCGGCUUGCUAGUAAGUCUAUGACUCGUUUCUUACAAACUUGAUAUCGAUUUUUUUUUUUGUAGGGAGGUUGUUGUUAUUUUAUUUUGCCUUUAGAAUAUGGAACCUUUUGCAAGGAGGCGGUUUGGGAAGAAGAAAAGCAAAAUGCCUUCUUUCCGUGACAUUUUGCCGUUUGUUUUGUGUCUCCGAACGACCCUGGGGGUGGAAUAUUUAUUAUUCAAAGUUCAACAGACUAUCGACCGUAAAUUAAACUGUUAUCUCUCACGUGAUAGCUCAAGAAUACAGAGCGUUUUUUUCCCUUAACUUUCAAUAUAAACCAGUACAAGUAUGGCUGCGUUCAACCUGCUCCACUUCUAUUCCCUUAGUUAAGGAAUAAAGCAUAAGACCUAGCAAAUUUGAUGUGUGAAGCGGGUGUUAAUCAUACCACCGACUUCAGUGCUUGGCUGGUACUUUAUUUUAUUCCUUUUUAUCAACUUCUAAAAGGGUGAUAGGCAAAGCUGACUCUGGUGGGAUUUCGAUUCAGAACAUAAAGAACUGGAGCAAAUACUUUUCGAGAUAAAAUAAAGUACCAGUGAGAUACUGGGGUCAAUGUAAUCGGUUAACUACUCCCUUACAUCUGAUGGCCUUGUUCCAAAUUAGAAAGAAUUAUUAUUAAUCCUCAAUGACGAGGAUCCUUGUGACCAAUAAAAUAAAUUUUUAUUAUCAUUUGACGAGCAGGCAGAAUCGCUAGCACGCUGGACGAAAUGCUUAGCGAUAUUUCGCCCGUUGCUCCGUUCUGAGUUAAAAUUCCACCGAGGUCGACUUUGCCGUUCAUCUUUUCAGGGUCAAUAAAUUAAGUACCAGUGAAACACUGGGGUCGAUAUGAUCGACAAGUCCCCCUUCCUACAAAUUUUAGGCCUUGUGCCUGUUGUAGAAAGGAAUUUUAUCAUUAUUACUAUUAUUGUUAUUAUUUUGGUUUGACACAGGUUCGGUCUUAUUCCUAGUGCAAUUUAUGCGGGUAGCGGAUUACUACCUGUUACCUCCUGUAACCUUAGGUAUCCACAAGUUUUCAGCUGUCUUUCAAGUGCUUAGAACCCUUCUGAUAGUCCUCGCUGUCCUUAAGAGACAAACUUUCUGUAGGAGUUCUACUGGCAUUAUAUUUCUAUCUCUUUCAGCCAUUUGUCUAUGUCUUUGUUUACUGUUCCCAACGCACUGAUUAUUAUAGGCACGACCUUUGCUGUUCGCAUGUUCCAAAUUUUUCUUAUUUCAAAUUUUAAGGGAUUGUAUUUUUUGUUUUUGUUUGUUUUUGCUGGUUUAUUUAUUUAUUUAUUUAUCACCACCUCCACCACCACCACCACCACCACCACCACCAUCAUCAUCAUCAUCAUUAUCAUUGUUAUUAUUAUUAUUAUUAUUAUUAUUAUUAUUAUUAUAUGUUUGACUUUUGCUUUAUAUUUGUACAAGUUGGCUCCAAGUCUCACCCAGAGACCUCAGGAGACAACAGGCUGGAAGUUCACGUUGUUGUUAUGCCUAGUGUGCCAUAUAUUUGGUUGUUUUUUGUGUUGUACUGGUGGAUGUACUGGUGGAUGUUUUAAACCUUGAGAUUACAUAGAAAGUAUUUUACGUAGGAUAUGAGCAGUUCCCAUGAGCACUAUCUUUUGAAUUUCUGCCAUUUUUGGGUUUUCUGGUAUCUGAGUUAGGUAGCAAUCAGCCCCUUUUGCUAUCAUUCCCAGGGCACCUAUGACAAAAGGUAUUGUUUUAGUCUUCAGGUUCCACAUUUUGCUGAUUUCUAUUUCAAGAUCUUUAUAUUUGCUCAGUUUUUGGUAGGUCUUGACAGAUACGUUUAUAUGGAUUGGGACAGUCAUAUCAAUGAGGAGGCAUGUUCUUUGUUUGAAGUCUUUCAAUAUGAUGUCUGGCCUAUUUGCAUCUAUCUUUUUGUCAGUUUGAAUGGGGAAGUUCCAGAGGAGUGAGAUGUGGUCAUUUUCAAGCACUGGAGGUGGUUUGUUUUCCCACCAGUUUUUUUCGUGGGGCAAAUCCAGGUUUUUGCAGAUUACCCAGUGGAUAUAUUGUGCAGCUCUAUCAUGCCUGUUGAGAUACUCUGUAGGCGCUAGAAGACUGCACUUGGAGACCACAUGAUCAAUGGUUUCAUUUUGUGCUGGCAUACACGACACGUUGGACUGCUGCUGAUCUUUAAUAUGUUGGCCUGGUAGUUUCUUGUUGAUAGGCAUUGAUCUUGAGCUGCUAUGAUAAACCCCUCUGUUUCAGAUUUUAAGCCAGAGGCCAUUAGCCAUUGAUGGGUCAGGGCUUUGUCAACAUCUGCAUUAUUCGCUCUCUUUGGGUAUUUGCCAUAGAGAGGUUUUUCUUGCCAUUUAUCAUUCAGAAUAUCUAAGGCCGCAGAUUUAGCACGGGUUUUCAUGCGCUUAGCUUUUUCUGUGCCUGUUUCCUGUAAUUCCGAAAUUUGUUGUAUUUAUUAUUAUUAUUAUUAUUAUUAUUAUUAUUAUUAUUAUUAUUAUUAUAAUUAUUAUUAUUAUUAUUAUUAUUAUUACUAUUGAAGGCGGUUAGCUGGCGAUGAAAAUUAUCAGCUCACCGAGCAAAAUGCUUAACAGUUUUUCGUCCGGCUCUGUACAUUCUGAGUUCAAAUUCCGCUGAGGUUGAUCUUGCCUUUCAUCCUUUCGGGCUCCAUUAAAUAAGCACCAGCUGAGCGCUCCUGAUGAUGUAGUCGACUGGUCUCUCCCCUCAAAAAAGGCUUAUUGUUAUAUUUUCUUUUUUUCUUUCUUUUUUAACUUUUGUCCCGACUUAUGUAUAUAUAUCAUGCAAAAUGGGACAAGAACGCAAAACAUCCAGAUAGACGAUACAAAGAAAACAAGGACGGGUCGUUCGGAGUUUUCUUUCUUCAGUCGAGUUCCUGAUUAUCUUUGCAAUUUCGGCUGGUUAUACUCGAGAUUGCUUCAAUCUGGCCAGCCCCAAGGAAAAACUAAGCUAAGAUUCCUUAGAAGAAAGCAGCGAAUGUAUACGAUAACAAGAGCUGAAAAAAAUGGAGAAUGUUACACAAAUACAAAUAACAGGACAUUACAACAGGCGUUUUUCGACUAAGGACGAAUUAAGUUAAGCUGGCAUGUGUGGAAGUAAAGCCUUACGGCAGGGGUACAAGAUUUCACAGGCACAGGGAGGAAUAUAGAUGUUGCACGGACAGUGGCCGAACCAAGAAAGAAAAGUUAGGCUUGGCCGAACACCGGUCACGUGGGGAGAAAAGAGAGAGAGAGAGAGGUAGAGGCAGAGGGACAAAAGAAAUAAAGAGGGGCGAGAAAAAAUGACAGGGACACAGUGAAGUGAAAAGAGGAGGGAAAGUGGGCAUGAAGAGAAGGCAAGGAAAUGUGAGAGAGGGGGAACGAAAGAACGAAGUGUAGAAUGAACGAAGUAAGCGUGAAAGGGCUGAUAGAAAGAAAUGCAUAUAUGGGUACAGGACGUUACCAACAGUAAACAGCAUGAAGUACGAAAAUAAAUGAUUUCAAUAAGCAAACAAAGAGAGAAACAAAUGGGAAACAGGACAAGUAACACAAUGAACGACCCUUCAGCAGUUGUCGGCUGUCUAUCUACUCCUCAUUUCGAGCAUUGAAUGACAAUAUGAGUCUUCAAAGUCAGUUGCUCCCAUAAAUAACAAUACAAAAUUUUAGAUUUAUCGAAGGUCAAAGUUGGGAACAAAAACAGGACAGUGGAGACAUACAAUGAAUCCAAACGAAAGCAAACAUGGAGGAUCGUUAUACCAGAACGAGAGGAAAGUAUUGAACGCUGGAGAAAUAUUUUCUUUGAAAAGAGAAAAGAUAGAAGAGAGAGAUUACGUCCAGUCCUAAGGACAGUCCUGAAGGAAAAGAAAGAUGAUCACGUGAUAUGUAAUAGUUAGAUCCAAGGAUCCAGGUGUAUGAAGUUAGUAAGCUUCGAGCAGUCCGUAGAAAGUAUAAAAAACAACUUUCAGGAAUAAUAGUGGUUUAUUGAUAUAGAAGGUUGUAAAGUUUUCCCAUAUCGAAGUUCGAUAAGCCGAAAGAAGUUAUUCUAUAGUACACGGUUAGUAACUGGGGUUGCUGUAUAUGCGAAUACAAAUUCAAAUGUAGGGAAUGGAACAGGUAAAAUUCAGGCUACAUAUGUUUCCUAGCUACCAGAACCUCGAAAGUAGUAAUUACUCAACGGAGGGGUGGGAUAUUCCACUAGCUACUAAUCAGGCUGAAGAUACCUUAGUUAAAUGAAAGUUACAUUGUCGUCAAGGGAUCUCAAGUUAACUCGCAGAAGAUUUGAUCGAAAAUGAGUGGAAAGCACAGAGUGAGAGAACAAAUGAAGAAAAGCAUAUGUGUGAAGAAAUAAUAUAUAGGAAUGGGCGAAUAUCUCAAGUUGUUAAGAAAAAGAAAAAGAAUAAAAAAGGAGAGGUGGAAGAGUAGGGGAAAAAUAUAUACAUAUAUAUGCGCGCUGCUGCCUUAAUUUUUUCGUUCGUUCAUCCACACCACCACCACCACCACCACCACCACCACCACCACCACCACCACCACCACCACCACUACCACCACCACCACCACAACCACCACUACCACUAUCAUCUUUGUAACAUCUAAUUUUUUUCCCACCGACAUUUCUCCAUGAAAUUCAAUUAAUAUUUGUUUCUCACAAACUAAUAGAUUCAUUAAGCAUGAAUUCUCCAGUGAAAUCUCUUGCUUGCUCAUCAUUUUAAAAAUUUCCUUCAAUUCACAAACCCUGAGUGAAAGGGAAUUUCAUGUAAAAGAAUGGUUAAGAGCAAUAUUAAAAGUAUUCCACAGGAAAGUGAUAAUUCUUAUUUAUGAGGAUCUGUUUUGAAAAUUGUAAGGGAAUAUUAAUGAAAUUGAAAAGAAAGACUUAUGUAUAGCUUGAAUUUGAAUAGAACUGUUAUGUAAUGCAAAUGAAUUCAUGGACAUAUAUGUAUGAAAUCGUCUAUCGUAUAUUUAAUGUAUAUUUUACCUAUCAGAGUCUCAAGCCUGUAAACAGCCGCUUGUUUUGUUGCAGAUGUAAUAGAUGCUUCUUGUAUCUUUUGUUGCUGUGUGGUCGGGCUGGACCAUAUAUAGAAAGACACCUUAGAUUUAAAGACACUACACAAUGGAGAAUAAGUUCAAAAGAAAUAGAUGUUAAUGGAGCCUCACUGAAACAGACAUAAAAUGAAAGGUGAUAUUAAUUUAUAAGGGUCUGUUUUGAAAAUGAAAGAAAAUUUUAAUAAAACUGAAAAUGAAAUUAUUUCGAAUGGAAUUAACUGAAAAAGAAAUAGCUAAUCGAAAUAUCAAAAGAAUUUAGACAUGCAUGAGACAUUAGAACAAUAUAUUUAGAAAUACUGAUGAAUAGAGAAAUGGGAUUCAUUGAUAAUAGAUAUAGAGAUAGAGGUAGAGAUGAAGAAAGAAGACGGUGUGUUUGAAGAAUAACCAUAUUUGCUAUUUCGGAGUAAAAACGACAUUAGUCCGUUUUUGUACAAGCUAUGUAAAAAGAGAAGGAAGUUCAGAUAGACAAUAGGUCUAAUGUGUGUGUGUGUGUGUGUGUGUGUUGUGUGUGUGUGUGUGUGUGUGUGUGUGUGUGCGCGUGCAUAUAUAUAUGUAUGUAUAUGUGUAUAUAUGUAUAUAUAUAUGUAUGUAAUAUAUAUAUAUAUAUAUAUAUAUAUAUAUAUAUAUAUAUAUGUGUAAUAAAUGAAAAAUUGUAUGGUAGAUAAACAAACGACAUAACGUAUACUGAAUGUACAACUGGACGGGAGACAAACACAGGAGGUCCCUAAUUCUUCUUCAGUUAUCAACCAAUUGGUAAUACUCAGUUAAUGAUAAGACUGAGGGCUUCCCAUAUUGGCGGUGACUGCAAUUUUAUUUUUUUGCGGGCAAUUCAGGACCGAGAGCAAACAAAUCAAAGCAAAAAAAAAAGAAAAAAACACAGAAUAUGAUUCAGGAUGGUGGACAAGGACGAACAGACGAGCAAAAUACGGCCUUAGAGCCAAGACAAGAAUAGUGGGUGACGUUUAGAGGAUAUCCUUAAGGACUGAAUGGAGAGACAGAAUUUGCGACUGGUCAGUUACGAGAUCAGCGUGAGAAAGGGAGAAAGCUGGCUGCGGGUCACGUGACAGUAACAGGCAGAGGAGAAAAAAAGCAAGAGAGAGGGUGAGAGAGCGACAGAGAGAAAAAAGGGGAAGAGAUGAAGGGAGAAAAAAGAGAAAUCGGAAAGGCUAGGAAUACAAGAGAGAGAGAGAGAGAGAGAGAGAGAGAGAGAGAGAGAGAGAGAGAGAGAGAGAGAAGGGGAAAGUAGAAAGGCUCGAAUAGAAGUGAGAGGGCGAGAGAAAGAAAAGGGAAAAGAAUGAAGGCAAGAGAGGUACUCAGUAUCAUAGCAGUGAUUAAUAAUAUAUACUGUUUUGGUCGGGAUUAGUAAUAUAUUCUAUUUUGGUCGAGUGAGUUAUAAAUGUGUAUGUGUGUAAUUCAAAUUUUCAGAAAACAAAAGACGAAGACAGGUGAGGGAACAACAAGCAGGUGUAUUAGUUUGACGCCCGGGAAGAAAGGAAACGUCUUUGACGUUUCGAGCCUACGCUCUUCGACAGGAAGGGUUGAGAGAAAAAAAAUGGAGAGAGAACGCAAAAAAAAAAAAACAACGGAGAAAGUAAAAGUGUGUUGUGAUUAACGGUUCAACACUAUAUAUAUAUAUACACAUACACCUCGCACCUUGCCAGGUGUAUGUGUGUGAAGAUCCGUCCUUCACAUUAGAAGUAUUAAGGCCACUCCUCAUAGUGAAAAGGAUUGGCCUGCAAGACUCCUGUACCGGUACCACAUUAAAGGGAGCUAGCACACACUGUAAAGUGGUUGGUGUUAGGAAUGGCAGCCAGCUUUAGAAACCAAGCCAAAUCAGACUGGAACCAGGUGCAGCUCUCCAGCUUCAACGAACUGGUCAAACCGCCCAACCCAUGCCAGCAGGGAAAACGUCCAAUAACACAGUACUUGUACCACAUCCUCGCGUUGUUGUUUUUUCUUGCAUAUUUUUAACAUUCACUAGCAGAGAUACCCGGCGUUGCCCGGUUACAUUCAAUAGAAGAAUUAGACUUUUCUGUUAUAUAUAUAUAUAUAUGGAUACACACACACACACACACACAAAUAUAUGUAUAUUAAUAUAAAUACAUGAAAGUACAUGAAGUUUGUUAAAAAAAGGGGAUCAUGUAUAUACCUCCUGGUUGUUGAGAUUAUAACACCUCGUUGUAAACAAUGUUCCUUGUUUUCCCUUGUGGAGCAUAUACAAAAAGGUUUCUUUUGGUUCCUACUCUUGAGCAGCCAACAUACAGUUGCCUUUGCGAGAAGCAGGGCUCUUCAAAGAGAAGACCAGCUACAGAGAGGGUUUGACCCUGAGAUUUGUUAAUGGACAUGGCAAAGCUGACACGAAGGGGAAUUGCAGUCUUCUGAAUGUAAAUGGAAUUUCUGCUCCUGAUGGAGUAAGAGAAAAUCUUGGAAUAAAGACGUCAUCACCUUUUCCACAUCCAAAAAGAAUGAUCGCCUCGAUAACCUGUGAUAUCAUUUUCUUUAUCACCAGUCGUGUUCCAUUGCAAAGUCUUGGUGGUUCCAGAUAUGUGUGGAGGUUACUUAAGUGUAAUAUGUGUGGAGGUAGUCGAGGAGGCUCCAGUGAAUUGAGAAAUUCAGGAGGACAGUUCACAACUUCAUUUAUAUCUGGAAUUGUAUCAACAGACUUGUAAGUGUGUAUAGUGCCGGGAAGAGAAUGCAUUAGCUGUUGAUUAAUUUUGUUAACAGUGACGUUUUUUGGAGCUAAUAUUGCUCUUUCACACUGCCAAUUGUGAUUUUGGUAGUUUUGUGUGAAGUUGGGAAAGACUUUGUUUUUGAGGUCAUCUAUAGAAUUAACAACAGAGGAAAAUGACCACACUUCCAUUUGUCCUGCACCAUCGAGAGGCAUCUUGCCUUCACCAAGUGUCAAAAUGUCCUGUGCAAACUUUGUGGACAUUUUGUUGCCGUGUAGCUGAGCUCUCAUGUUAGUGGUGAGACUAAAGAUUGUAACAUGAUGCCACAGGGUAGAGGACUUUAGGCAUGCUUGAACUUCAUCAGCUCUAGUGCCUUUCGGAAGGACAGGAAGAGUUUGCCUGAAAUCACCUGACAACAGAAGCGUUACACCUCCCAUUGGAGCCUGACAGUCUCGGAUGUCUUUCAGGGCUCUAUCUAAUGCUUCCAAAGCUCCCUUGUGAGCCAUAGUGCACUCAUCCCAGACAAUUACAUAACACAUUUUAAGUACUUGUCCCUGAUCUGAGCUUUUGUUGAUGUUUCAUGAAGGCAUUUCGGAUGCUGCUAAAUUGAGAGGGAGUUUAAAAGUUGAGUGUGCUGUCCUGCCUCCGGGUAACAAAGUAGCUGCAAUGCCAGAGGAGGCUACAGCUACUGCAAUGUCCUGAUGCUACCUAACUUCUGCAAGGAGAAGCUUUGUAAUAAAUGUUUUUCCUGUCCCUCCAGGAGCAUCGAGGAAGAAGAUUCGUCCCUCGCGUUGGCGUACACUGUUAAGAAUAGUUCUGUAGGCCUGCAGCUGGUCCGGAAGUAAUUUAGGCUCAUUUUCAACAAUGUACUUUGAAAGCGCUUGAGUGUCGUAGGUUGUUUCACGAAUGACAGCAGUAGGAAGGCUAUUUCACCCUUACCUGAAUGCUUGUGGCAGGCCAUACGUCGACAAUACAUUUCCACCCAGUUUAGCAAUUCUGUCUUCAAUGUCAAUGAGUGUUUUGUUAUAGAUAUCAUUGCUGAUAUCCCUCCAUGUCAGGAUAGAGCAGUUGAGCUUGGCGCUGAAGGGGACAAUGUUUUUGAGAUUCCGGUUCGAAUGUAAGGCAAGUUUGAAAGUGUUCCCAACAGUUAUUAGUUGUAGUGGUAGAGUGUUUAUGCCGAAUAUGUACGUAUGCACGUAUAUAUAUGUAUGUAUGUAUGCCUGUAUAUAUGUACAAAAUCCACUGAGAAGGCUUUUGUUGAUCUGAAGCUACAGCAGAAGACACAUGCCAAGUCACCACACAGUGGGACUGAACCCAGGACCAUGUGUUUGGAACGUAGUUUGUUAUCACACAGCCACACCUGCCCCUAUGUAUGUGUGUGUGUGUGUGUGCGUAUGUGUAGAUAUAUUAUGCAUGUAUAUAUGUGUAUAUAUAUGUGUACAUAUUACAUGUACAUCUAUAUAUAUACAUCUACACAUAAAAUACAAAAUACAAAGUUAUAUCUUGAUAUCGCUAGUGAUAACAAUACUCAAAAAUAUAUAACAGACUGGAAUUGUAGGCCUGUCUCUUGCAAUUUCGAUCAAUUGGAUCUUGUCCUCCCUCAUGUAUAGAAGUGUACGGCUGCAGCGAAAUUCAUUUUUGGACUUUCUUCUAUCGAAGGCAUUUUAACAAAAAUGCUUCCGUAAAGAAGGUGAAAAUAUUGUCAAUUUCCCCAAACAGGGACACAAUUCAAUUUUUAAACAAUAACCAAAGCACCUUCUCCGAAAGGGGGAGGGUUACGGUUUACAAUUAUUUAACAAAUGCAACACAACAACGUUUCCCUGACGAGGAACCAACAAACGUGAUUGCAAUAGUCAAACAGUAAUAAUAACAACAAACCUUUUUAAUUUAUCCCCAUUUAUGUGAAACCACUUAUUCAAGUUCAAGUCAUUGAUGCAAUUUUAUACGAAUUGCUAAUACACACACACACACACACACACACACACACAUAAUAAGGGUGAAAAAUUGAAUAUUAAUUUGAUUAAUAUGAAUUGAAAACCAGUGGUGUAGCAUAUAAGACCAUAGCGGAUCUUCCUCUAGCAAAAAGGAUGACCACUAUUGAUGGCUCAUCCCUGUUAUAUAAUACUUUCACUUUAAUAGUUUCACACUUGCAAAGAGAAAGUAGGAGAAAGUGUGGUGGUAAUAGCAGAGUAAACCACUUGAAAUGAGAGAGGAAAUCGUAAAAUAUUGAGUUUUCUCGAAUUUUUGCUUAAUUGGGGGUCAAAUUAAAAAUUUUACAUGCCAUGACCCAAUCGAAUCUACUUGGAAAAAUCAUAGGUAAAUUCCAAUUGAAGAAAUUCUAUAUUGUAGAAUUGUAUUAAAAAGAAACAUGGAAACAGGCAGAGAAAAUCUGCCUUUUAUCAUAAGAGAUAUAUUUUUAUAUUUUUAUAUCUUUAUAUUCUGAAUGUAUUAAUAUGUUUUAGACAUCUCUGUCAUAUUAAAUCCCUAUAUGUAUACACCAAUCAUAGUCUGCCUGAGUUGAGCCUCUUCCCUGUGUCUCUUGUACUUGUCUAUCGUCUCGGGUUCGACUCGAGUACUUCCAUGCUUUCUAUGCUUUUCUAAAGAAAAUUUAUAAUUAUAUAUAUAUAUAUAUAUAUAUUAUAUAUAUAUUUUUCUUUUUUUUUCUUUUACUUGUUUCAGUCAUUUGACUGCGGCCAUGCUGGAGCACCGCCUUUAAUCGAGCAACUCGACCUCGGGACUUAUUCUUUGUAAGCCCAGUACUUAUUCUAUCGGUCUCUUUUGCCGAACCGCUAAGUAACGGGAACGUAAACACACCAGCAUCGGUUGUCAAGCAAUGCUAGGGGGACAAACACAGACACACAAACACACACACGCAUAUAUAUAUAUAUAUACAUAUAUACGACGGGCUUCUUCCAGUUUCCGUCACAAGGCUUUGGUCAGCCCGAGGCUAUAGUAGAAGACACUUGCCCAAGGUGCCACGCAGUGGGACUGAACCCGGAACCAUGCGGUUGGUAAACAAGCUACUUACCACACAGCCACUCCUGCGCCUAUAUAUAUAUAUAUAUAUAUAUAUAUAUGCAAUGAAGAAUGGAGAAGUGUACAUUUUCGUUUUUUUAUUACAGUAUUAGUCUCAUUAAAUUUAUUUUAGAUUCCAAUCCGACACGUGUUUCUGCUGCAUAACUGUAUUAAUGUUCACCGCCGGAAGUUCUUGUUGACAAACAACAGCAGUAAUUUUAUUCGGCUGAAUACACGUCAUUGAUUGGUUGAAAUUACCGAAAUAGGACAACUUUAACGUGAAAUAACUUCGUAAAUAUAAGUUUUUCUCAAAAAUGCUAAGAGUAAAAGAUGUUUUAUAUGACACAUUCUACCAGUGUCCGAAGUUUGAAAGUGUUUAGUUACAAAAUUUUUUUUUUUUAAUCUGUAGGUCAAAAGGUAAAGAUCCAACAUAUCUUAUUACUACGCAUUAAUUAACCCAAUUUACUUAAUAAGUGUUAAUAUUCGCAAUGAGAAAUUCAAGCUUAUCUAAAGAAGUAGAUGCUUUAUUAGCUGUUAGAAAAUGCACAGUUAAAUUUGAAAGAAAAUACUGGGUAAAGAAAUAUAAAUUUGAUCAGCUGGACAUUACCAUGAACUCCAGCGAUUCCAAUCAGAUAACGGAUUUAGUGGGAAUUUAUAUUUUAAAAUGUAUUAAUUGAGAAUUUCCGGAAAUGGUGGGUGGGUGGGGCUGGAUUAUAUAGGGACGACGCUUUCUUUACUUUAUAUAAAUUUAUAUUUUUUCUUAACUCGGCAUGGGUUCUUUUCGGUCUUUACCUUACAUCGAAAUAUAUUUUUGAACCCAAUCUUUUUUCGAUUCUAAGAAUGGAUGUAUUAACGUAUGUACUUCUACUAUCGAUCAUUCUUAACUUUUUUACCUGCUGAACUCAUAUACAAGUCUAUCAACGGACUUAUAAGACUUCAUUAACUUCUUCAAUCCUGUAAUUCUUUAAUCAUGGAAUUACAUAAAAUUAGUUACCUCUCAUUCUAACUGAUAACUACUAAUAUCCUUAAUUGAGAAUCUGUCUUUCUGCACCGCUUUAACUCGAUCUCUCUAAUGAUGAGAUACUUUGAUGACGUGAAUUCGUUACGCAUUAACAUGAUCCAUUCGCUCAGGUAUUCCAGAAACCCCUGUAAGAGACUCUGCUUUUUUCCUUUAUAUUUUAUUUGUACUUUAUCUUGAAGUAAAUAUCCUCGAAUAACUCCAAAUGUUUUGCUUGUCCGUCUUCCAUUUUGGGUCUAUGUAUAUAUCUAGUAACGUAAAUAUAGAAAGAUCCAGAAAAAAAGAUCUUUAAAUUCUUCAAAGGUUUGUCAAUUUCCUUUGAAAAAAAAAAAAGACAUAAUGAGGUGAAUUUUCUAGAUGUUAAUUUCAAUUUGGGUACAGGAGCACACCAACCGUAUCACAAACUCAACGAUAAUCUUAAAUACGUAAGUAAAAAUUCAAAUCACCCAAAAAAUAAUACUGGUUCUAUCGUUAAAAAUAUUUCUCUUCAUAUAUCUAGACUAUCUGCUAACCAAGAAAAUUUCAAGAAUAAUGGAAAGUAUUAUAAUAAUGCCCUGGCUGAAACUGGAAAUAAAGAUAAAAUAUUCUAUAUCUCUAAAAAUGAAAUCAAAGAACAUCUAGAUAUGGCUUAUGCUAUAAAUUAAAUAGGUAUUGGUAAUACAAAUUGUGAAAGUAAAACAAGGACCAAGGACAAGGAUAAUGAAGUUUCUAGUCACUAUGCCAAAAAUCACAAUAAGAACAGUCACAUAAUGGAUAACGAUAUACUUUUAAGUAAACCCCAUGAUAAACGUAACAAUAGAUCUUUUAAGAAGACAGUAGAAUAGACAUAAAAAUGAGGUUGUUAACAAAAACAAUAACCACUUCCCUAAAAGAAAAGCUAGAUCUAGGCAUAUAUUAUGGUAUAAUGCAAUCUUCGAAACACAGAUACCCACAAACAUACCUGCAAAAUCUUUCGCUGCAUUAGAUAGGCACUUUCCACCAGAAGAAAUGUUCUAUAUUUUUACCUCUACUUAUAGGUUAUCAAAUCACGUAAAAUGAAUUAGCCCUGAAAAGUACACAUUCAAAGCAUAUCAGUACUUUCAAAAUAAGGAUUUUCUAUAGGAUAUCAUGUAGAUAGAAAUGCAUAUAAGUUAACCGAGCCAAAUAAUCAUAGAUUUACUCAAGUUAGACUUUUAACAAUCUCACAAUAAACCACAUUCCUCUUUAUUUUUUAAAUUAACCCUUUCGAUUCUAUAUAUUUAUCUUAUAUAGUACCAUUCUAUCUUCAUAAUGAGUGGUCAGUGAGGUGAAUGCAUACUGACCUCAUUAAGGUUUUUUUUUCUACUGUUAAGUAUAUGAAAUAAUAUAUUCCCUUAAACUCUAAAGAGGUCACUCUAAGUUUAAAUGAUACCAGAACUAUGUCAUAUCGCAUUUCAAAGCAAUCUCUACUGUCACGUACCGUAAUAUUUUACGAUCCCUCAUUCGGAAUAUACUUUCAGAAGGACUAUCUAAGACUGGAAUCUUCAGUUCGCUUCACCUACUCGCAUGGGGAAAACCUUGAACAAAAUUGCAUAGGAAUGUCUUCGCUUUAUGAAUACGUAUCGCAAUUAAACAAACUAAAUGCACAUAAAUACUACAUCAAAGGACAUUAGGACACUUAUGCAGCAGAAACACGUGUCGGGUUGGAAUCUAAAAUAAAUUUAACGAGAAUAAUACUGUAAUAACAAAAAUUCUUCUUUUAUGAUGUCUUGAUUUCUGUAUGGUACAUGAAGUCCAUUCAAGCAAACUCAGGAUUUACCUAUUGAGUGAAGUACAGUGCAAUUGUUUAUCAAAUACAGUUUUGUAUGUUCCUUAUUCGAUAUCGUUAGCCAGAUCUGAAUUAUAUCAGUGAUAAUAAAGUACCUUAUUUCAAGUCCUCGCCUAAAUUCUAAAUCCCUAUUCUUUUACGUUAUAUAUAUAUAUAUAUAUAUAUAUAUAUAUAUAUAUAUAUAUAUAUAUAUAUAUAUUUAUAUAUAUAUAUAUAUAUAUGUAUGUAUGUAUGUAUGUAUGUAUGUAUGUAUGUAUGUAUAUAUAAGUUCAGCAAACAAUUUAGAUUCAUUCUUAUAACUAAGGAAAUUUUCUUACAACAGUCAGUUGUGAACAAAGUUUUGGUCAGGUUGGUAUCCUAACUACACUACCUCAUGUUCCUGAGAUUCAUAUCUACAUCUUUAUCUGUAUAUUUACCUUCCCUAAGAUGUUAUUAAUUGAUCUGAGAACUUUAUAUUAUUGGAAAACCUAUAUAAAAUUAGCUGAAGAUUACUCGGCAUAUUAAAUCUGCUGUAAUAUUUACUGCUUUUAAUAAAAUGUUGUAGUAUGAAACAAUUUUACUAAAUUACCGGAUUCAUUCUUGUUGCUUAUUUUUGAUUUUAUAUAUAUAUAUAUAUAUAUAUAUAUAUACAUAUAUACAUAUAUAUAAGAGGGAUGACCAUUAAGUGGCCAUCCAUUAUGCUAGAAGUCGAUCCCUACGAUCUUACCACUAAGAAAGGAAUGUUCUCAAGAAAAUUUAGCAAACGCCAGGACGUAAGCGAGCAAGACAAAUGAAAGAUACAAAAUAUACAGAUUAUUCACAAACAAGUUUCGUUGUUACCACUUACGUAGUCACUUACAUAGAUGUCUGCAACUCUACUUUUGCAAGGUCUUUCCUGUUGCUGUCACAUAUUGUGAAAUUUUAAAAUUAUGUCAAAAUUUUCAAAUUUGAUAUAUUGAAAUAAUUAUUUAUUUGUUCCUGAAAAAUUGCAGAAAAAUGUUACUGAGGUUUAAAGUUUAAUAAAUUUUACCUAAUCAGAAAACAGUAUUUAGAAGUUGGUAUUUUUUGCAUGAUAGCUGUCUAUCACAAAAUGAAAGCAAAAUCAUUACGAGAAGGAAUUUUUAUUAAACAAACGAAAGCAAAGCAUUAUGACGACCAAAGUUGUAAGAACUUCUGAAGUUUUAAUAAGUUUUAAUGAAUAAACUCAUAAGAAGCGGUCGAACAGACAUGUAAAUAAUUUAAAAAGGUAAAAAAAAAAAUCCUCAACGAAGUUUUUUUGCUAUAAAUUGCACAAAUCUGUCCUGAUCAAGAGGCCUAUCUGUCGGGGAAAGCAUGGUCUGACAUGGAAUAAACAAAAAAUUAUGUAAGACAUUCUAUUGUAAGAUUUGCCCGGGCAACGACGGGCUAUUCAGCUAGUAUAUUACAUACACAUACAUACAUGUAUGUGUCUUUGUGCUUUUGUGUCCCAUCACCGUCUAACAACCGGUAUUGGUGCGUUCACGUCCCCGUAAUCUAGCAGUUCAGUAAAAGAGGCCGAUUGAACAAGUACCAGGUUUUUAAAAAAAAUACUGGUGACGAGUCGUUCGACUAAAAUUGUUCAGCAUGAUACACACAUACAUAUUUACAUACAUACAUACAUACAUACAUACAUACAUACAUACAUACAUACAUACAUACAUACAUACAUAUAUACAUAUAUAUAUAUAAUAUAUAUAAUACAUGCACGCACACACACACACACACUUUUAUUUAUUUUAUUCUUUUAUUUGUUUCAGUUAUUAUAUGUAUGUGUGUGUGUGUGUGUGUCGCCAUGAUAGAUCGCUAGCCACUACGCACAUUUUUUCUCUCCUUGUUUCUUUCUGUAUUCCUUUCUGUUGAAGAGCGUAGGCUCGAAACGUUAAAAACUUUUUCAAUUCCCGAGCGUUAUACUAAUACAUCUGUUUGUUUUCUGCACCACCAGUCUUCGUCUUCUGUUUGUUUUCUGCACCACCUGUCUUCGUCUUCUGUUUGUUUUUGUGAAUUCUUCCUAUAUAUAUAUAUAUAUAUAUAUAUAUAGGCGCCGGUGUGGGUGUGUGAAAAGAAGUUUGCUUUCCAACCACAUAGUUCCAGGUUCAGUCCUACUGCGUGACACCUUGGGAAAGUGUCUUCUAUAUCCUCGGGCCGACCAAAACCUUGUGAGUGGAUUUGGUAGACGGAAUCUGAAAGAAGCCCGUCGUUUAUAUAUAUGUAUAUAUUUGUGUGUCUGCAUCUGUGUUUAUCCUCCCACUAUCGCUUGACAACCGAUGUUGGUAUGUUUAGGUCCCCGUAUACUAGCAGUUCGAUAAAAGAGACCGAUAGAAUAAGUACCAAGCCUACAAAGAAUAAUUUCGGGGGUCGAUUUCUUCGACUAAAUAGGUGGUGCUCCAGCAUGUACACAGUAAAAAAUGACUGAAACAAGUAAAAGAAUAAUGGAAUAAAAUAAUACAUAUAUGCCAAUCUUUUGGUAAAAGUCUAUGACGUCAUGAAUGAGUGUGUGACAUGGUAUUUUAUCUGUUCGACGGAGCUGAACAGUCAAACAUACCCGCAUUCAUCCACAACUGACGUCAUAUACAAAUACCGAAGCAUUGCCAUAUAUAAAUGUAUAUACCUAUAUGUAUAUAUUUACAUAUAUCUAUCUAUUUAUCCAUCCAUCUAUCUAUCUAUCUAUCUAUCUAUCUAUCUAUCUAUCUAUCUAUCUAUCUAUCUAUCUAUCUAUCUAUCUAUCUAUCUAUCUAUCUAUCUAUCUAUCUAUCUAUCUAUUUCUCUGUGUCUCUGUGUCUGUCUCUUUCUCCUCCCUCUCUGUAUAAAACAAAAUCAACGAGGCCCAUAAAACGUACAUAUCAACGAUAAAACCUCUAAAUAAUCGUUCGACUUGUUAGAAAGAACAGCCAAAUCUUUGUAAGAAAAAGAAACAAAACAAAAACACGAACCAAAAAACCAGAACGACACAUUAAAUAAUCUCGAUAACCUCCACCCUUUCUAUAAAAGAAAAAAAAAUUAAGACGGAGUAACAUCUAGAAUUCUACUCGAUCAGUAGUGUCCUGUGGCUAAACAACAACAACCAACGACAACAACAACAAGGCGUAAACAACGCCAUAUACUUCAGUAUACCCAGAAUGCUUUGCAAAAGUUGUUUGACGUCACAGCACGAAGGUUGUGUCAGAUUACGAUCGGCAGUUUCCUCCGAAUACUUCCUUGUUUGUUUUUCUUUAUUUAUCUAUUACCUCCACCACCACCACCACCACCACCAACACCACCACCACCACCAUCACCACCACAAUCACCAUCAAAACCUCUACCACAAACACAAACGUUAAGAAUAAAACAAAAAUAACAAAACCUCCCAUCAUCACCACCACAACGCCAGCAGUUGCACUGUUAUGAACAACCACAGCAACCGACGCCACCCCACCCCACCACCUCUACUACUACUACUACUACUACUACUACUACUACUACGUCGUUAUUGUCACCGUCAUCAUGAUCAUGUCAUCGCCAUCCGCUUUACCUUUGUUGUUGUUCUUCCUUCGUUCUUUUUCUCCUGCUUCUUCCUACAUUUAUCUACCAUUUUUACACGCGCGCGUACACACACACACACACACAUUUGUUUUGACUUCACCUCACCUGUCAGUUUUAUUAUUCAGAUGUGUUAUAGAUUACCCUCAUCAUCAUCGUCAUCUUAUCGUCCGCUACUCUAAUUUAAUUUUCUCUCUUAUAUUCGUAUAUACAUUUUGUCUUGCUUGCUAUAUUUGAAUUUUAAAUUUAACUUUUUAGCCUUUUAAAAAAAUAAUGUUUGAAAAGUAACAAAAGUAAUAUGAAAUAAUUGUUGAACAAAAAUUAAAUCUAAUAAUAUACAAUCUCAGUAAUGAUAGCGAACUUUUAAAUUUGCGAAUUCUAGUGUUUCUGCAUACAUGCAUAUGUUUGUGUGUGUAUAUGUGUAUAUAUAUAUGUGUGUGUAGAUGGAGUGGGUGUGUAUACAUGUUUGCGUUCAUGUGUACGUAUUUGUAUAUAUAUAUAUGUGUGUGUGUGUGUGUGUGAGAAAGGAAAGAGAGAGGUUUUUGAAAAAAACUAUUUUUCAACGUCCCAUACCUCAUUGAAAAGGGAAAAGGGUAGGCUUCCCUCAUUUUUGGAAAUAUUCUUUAGUUUUAUACAACAAAAUUAAGAUAUUGACAAAAUUUUUGCCCCAAUAAAUUUCCAUCCUCCCAGCAUAUUCUUGCCUAUCCACUUCCGUACCUCUUUUCCCUUUCCCAUUAAGUAUAGAACUUUAUGGGACUUCGAGGGAUAGCUAUUCCCAACACUCUAUCCAUAAAUAGUUCCGAAUUGGGAACCCCGUGUCUCAUGGCAAAAGGACAGGAUAGCUUUUCCUUAAAUUUGAUCUCUUUAAAUAUAAAUUUGCCUUUCCGUGCUUCUUAAAACGGAUAUUACAAUUCCAUCGCUCGUUUUUAUAUUGGGUUGUUAAAUAAAUCUGUUCGUUUUUUCCCCCUGUUUAUUUUUAUUCAUACCCAUCGAGUAAGUGCACAAGACGGCGGUAUCAUGAGAGCAUCCCAUCUGCUGGGCCAGUUUCCUUGUGGAUUGGCACGGGUUUUCAUUGUACUGAACAGGUCAGCUGGAACGCAAAGUCUGUGAGAUCGAAUUUCCCCUCCUUGAAGAGGGAAAACCAUUUCUGUGCAGUUCUCUCAGUAAUACCACACUCUCCGCACACAACACAAAUGUCUCGAACAACUUUGGCAGCUUUGGAACAGUUAUUGAAAACGAAGAGAUGCAGGUGUCGAAAAUGCUCGUUAUUUUAUGCUUGUCUCGCUCUUGUCUCAUCGUCAUAUGCCUGAACAGGGGUAAAAUUUUAUUCAAAUUUCAAAAACGAUAAACAAAGGUUGUACAAGAAAAAUAGAGACACAAAUAAUACGAUCAAAAUGUUUUCCGUGUAAACUAACAGUGGAAAGAAACGAACAAAUUAAGCUGUCAACCCGUUAUAUGAAAUGAAAUUAAAUGAAAACGUCCUGUACCGAUAAAAUCGAGUUGGAGAGAUACUAAAAAGGUUUUGUAUUCAUUUAGAAGGCCUGUCAGCCUGACUGAAUCUUUCUCUCUCAUGUCACAGUAUCAACUUAAAAUUCAAGAGUAGAAAGAUGACUGCUAUGAAUGAGUUAAUAGGGAAUCGAACUUGCUAUGUUGGGAUCGCUGGGAGAAUUACUACAAAUUCUGCGCCGCUUGUAUCAGUUCCAAUAUCACUUCCAUGCGGUAAUUAACGGGUAAUUUUGGAAGUAUACUUUUUGCCGCCAUGAAUAAUACCAGGAAAUAUGUCAUACAUAAAAUAGUUAUGAUUUAACUUUUAUCACAUUUUUUGGUGCUUAUACAAAAUAAUGAAAUCUUUUAUCGUUUACUUGUUUCAGUCAUUUGACUGUGACCAUGCUGGGGCGCCGCCUUGAAUUUUAGUCGAAUUAAUCGACCCUAGUCUUUUUAAGCCUGGUACUUAUUCUAUCAGUUUCUAUUCCCGAAUCGCUAAGUUACAGGGACGUAAAUACACCAAUACCGGUUGCUAAGUGGUGGUGGUGGGAUAAACACAGACACGAAAACGCGCGCGCGCGUACACACACACACACACACACACACACACACAUAUACAACAGGCUUCUUUCAGUUUCCGUUUACCAAAUCCACUCACAAGGCUUUGGUCGAUCCGAGGCUAUAGUAGAAGACACUUGCUCAAGGUGCCAUGCACCUUCCCAGCCGCGUUGUUGAGAAGCAAACGUUUUACCACACAGCCACGCCUGCGCCUUGGAUACCGAUUUUCAAAAGAAAAGUAUUUAUUACCUUGAAAUAAAUUUCUCAUUCAUAAAACUCCUCCCAUGAUUACUCUGUCAUUUACUCCUGUCUUAUACUCUGUCCCUAUGAUUCUCUCUCACAGCGCGAGUGUGUAGCGUUCUUUUACUCAUUGCCUGACGCCAAGCACUCAUCUUGCAUCUCUUACAACAACAGUCUGUGCAUCUCUCCUUUACUCUCUCUCUCUUUCCUCUCUCUUUAUACAGUUUAAAACAGUGGUUCUCAAUUGGGGUCUAUAUAAGAUUUUUGGAGUCCACACAAGCAAAAUAAUAAGUUGGGAAUCCACAGUAAUAUAUUAAGGAUCCAUGAAAAAAAUUUGCUUUUGAUGUAUUUAUUGGAAGAAACAGUUAAAAUUCUUUCUCAAACAUUUUACAUAGUUCAACUUAACAGAAGUUAAUGUGCUAAUAACAAAAUAGGAAUUUUGAAAGAAGUGCCUAUAAACUAGUUUAUAAGCAUCAGAUAGUGAAAGGGGUCCACCAGAAUUUUAAAAAAAGUUAUCAAAGGGGUCAAAAAUAAUAGGGGUAAAAAAAAUGGUUGAAAACCACUGGUUUGAAGCAUGACUGGAAAAAGUGAGCAACCAACAUAUAAACUAACAUUUGUCAGCUAUUAUUAAAUAGCUAUGUUAAGCAACAGGCAUAAGGCCAGCAAUUUAGUCAAUUCUAUCGACCCAGGACUUGGCUGGUACUUUAUUUUAUUGACACCAAAAAGAUGAAAAGUAAAGUUGAUCUCGGCGCGAAUUGAACUCAAAACGUAAAGUGCCGGAACAAACGGCGUAAGAUACAGAAAUGUAAAAUUUGUCACAUAGGUACAAGACGUGAGAAACAGUACUUGAUAUAUAUAUAUUGUGUGUGUGUGUGUGUCUAUCUAUCUAUCUAUCUAUCUAUCUCUCUCUAUAUAUAAAUGAUUAAAUAUUCAAAUGAAUAUACAUAUAGAUAUUAUUAUUAUGAUUUUAAUGCGCAGACACGUACUCAGGUUGCAUCACCUGUAGCAAUUUCUAGAAGGUGAACGUGUGUGGGCUACGUUUGUGAGACACGCCUUUCAGCAGCUCGUCUCCUUGGCGGAGCUACAGUCCUGGGUAAAGGAUAGGUUGAGACUGGGCGCCUGGCACUUAAAAUGUCGUCAGGCGCUCACUGCCCUCUACAAGUCGGGCAGUAGGAUCGGUGGAUGUUCCACUUUAGAUAUUUACAGAAGAUUAGUUGCAGGAAAGUGCGACGACGUCCUCGGGGAGACCCUAGGCGUCGACGAAGACGAACUGGCAAGUCUAUUCCGGAGGACUUCCCGGUCGGAGACUGUUACGGAUAAUUUCCAGAUGUCUUUGGCCUGGCAGUGCUACUGGGGGCCGCUACUGGUUUGAGAUAAACUCUACAGGCACGGAUGUGCUGUCAGACGGUCUUGUCGGAGGUGCUUGCAGAGCGACGAAACCGUUCUGCAUGUACUCGUUCAGUGUCCGGGCACUGCUGACUUGUGGAGCUAUGUCGAACAGCUGCUGUCGCGUGGAGGACAGAUCCGUCUAUCGUCCGAGUCCAUAAUGAUGAUUGCUCCGCCGCCCUCCUUUAAUCGGACUAGCAAGGCAGUCUUCCUUUGUCUGGUGGCUGUGGCGAAAGAGAUUAUCAGGUGGACAAGGCUGAACGGAAUGAAGACAGAAACUUACCUCUUUGGCAAAGCCCUCAUCGACUUUUUCAAGUUCCACUUGAAAAGGAAAAUGCGGGUGGAGAGGGAGGUGCUGUUCUCGAGUGAAUUUAUGAAAAGGUGGGCGAAAGUUGCGAAAAUAGCAAGAGUGGAUGGCACCACUCUCAGUGUAGAGCUGUGAGUCAGAAGAAAGGGAUUUGGAGAGGGCACUCGUCCUUGGUAUUCAGGGUAAUCUUGGACGGUGGGGUUCCUUGAUUAUCGCUUGAGGUCCUCCUGAAUCAAGGGGAUCCCAUCAUUAUCACAUUUUUGCCCUCUUUUUUCUCGUGUCAUUUACUCUGUAUACUUCCCAUCUUCUAAUGUAUACCGUGUAUACUUUUUAUUUUAUCAUUCCUUUAUAUGUAAACCCACACACUUUAUGUCUGUCUUUGUAUUGACCCCCUCACCUUCACCCUGGUGGCAAAUAAAGCAAAUCAUCAUCAUCAUCAUCACCAGUCUUCUUCUUCUUCUUCUUCUUCUUCUUCUUCUUCUUCUUAUUAUUAUUAUUAUUAUUAUUAUUAUUAUUAUUAUUAUUAUUAUUAUUAUUAUUAUUAUUUUUAUUAUUUGCAGUAAAUCUAAAUUUGUUGGUCCGUUGAAUAUUUUCAGUGAGAUUGGUGGACAAAUUGAGGAUUUUGACUCUCCUUUCUAGCAAGCUGGUGCUUCAUGUACCCUCUAUUAUAAUUAUGUGUGUGUGUGUGGGGGUAUGUAUGUAGGUAGGUAUGUAUGAGUGUAUAUGUAAUUGUAUGAUCCAGGGAUCUAGCCGUAGGACGUUAGUAAGCAUCGAGCAGUCCGUGGUAGGUAAAAACACUUUCAGAAACAAUAAUAGUUUACUGGCGUAGAUUUUUUUCCACAUCAAAAUUCGAUAAGCUGAAAAAUGCUUUUUUUUCUUUGGUAGAGUAACUAGGGUUUGCUAGUGAUGUACCCCUCGUUGAAUAAUUAUUACUUCCAAGGUUCUGCUAGCUAGGAAACAUAUGUAGCCCGGAUUUUACCGGCUCCAUUCCCUCAAUUUUGAUAUAUAUAUAUAUAUAUAUAUAUAUAUAUACACACGUGUGUAUGCAUAUGUAUGUAUGUGUGUGUGUAUGUAUAUAUGUAUGUAUGUAUGUAUAUGAAUGUGCUACUUUCGAGUGCUACUGGUAACAUGUAACCCAUUACAACCUGUUGCAUGGUCGGGUCGUUGGCGACUAAACCGGCAACCCCACCAAGCUUGCUUGGUGAGGAGGGUGUUUAUUGGUCACUCUGCGGGAUGAAAAACGAAAUCCGUCAAAGGGCGGAGGAACUCUUGAAAGUCAACGGCCAUCCAAUAAAUGUCUUAAGGCUGUAUCAUGCGCAGGGACAUAGAAAUAAUCGGACUGAAUACCCGAUCGCGCGGUUAAACCAUUGGGAGUGAAGGACUCCUAGCCUUUGUUAGGGCAUCCUUCUAGGAGAUGGUAACUCAGGUUACUGGGAUAACUCCGACAUAAAACCUGCGGCUCAGUGGUUACCCAUGAUGUUGACUUGUUCUUCUUUUCGGAUUAUGGCUGCUGUUGCUUAGUGAGUGGGAUUGACUCAGUGCACAGCCUUUCCUCACUUUAAAAAAAAAUCUUCUUGCACAGGCAUUGCACGAUAACAACUUUGAUUAAGCUUCGUGCAAUGGCCAUACUCGAUAACGAGGGGCAGCUACCAUAUGAAUGUGCAAAAACGAGUAAAACACAAGAACCAAGAAAGAAGAAGAAUAUUGUUUAGGGGCCGGAUGGGAAGGUGGUUCUAUGGAGAGGAGUUAGGAAGAGAAGAAGGGGCACAGGUAGAUACGUAUAUUUGUAUAUAUUUGUGUGUGUGUAUGUAACUUCACUCUUUUACUCAGCUUAUAUGAUCCUUUCCUUCGAAUCAACCUGUUGUAAAAAAGAUGGAAAACGUUCGUCAUUUAUUCUAGCAAUGUGGUUUUACUAGGGCAGCUGGACCCUGCGAAGGCGAAUAGAUGCUGGGCGACAUCGAGCAAUUGAGGAUUUCAGUAACAAUCUCUGAAACUCUGUUCUGCCAACGAAUGUGCAAGAUUUUACAUUGGUAGUUCCGGCGAAUCUACCUAAAUUUUGUAGUGUCCCUACUGUAAACAGUUCGCGUCUCAUUGGCACGUAACAAAGUUGGUAGAACAAUGGCUUCGUGGACCUUCAACAUGCUUUAGAGUUUUAGACCCUUUCUAUCUCAGACUCCAUUAGGAAGUGUACCGAACUUGAUGCUAGCGUUAGCGAUUUUGCUGUUGACUCCAUCGUAAUGUGAGCAAUUUUAUACGUAAAUGGUAUAAGACUUAUUUAUGUAACAUCUCUAUAUAUGUAAGAAUAUUCGGCUUGCAUCAUUACUUAUCAUUAUCAAUACAGAAAUAGAAUCAACUGUCAGUCAACUGAAAGGCUUAUCUAUUGGGGGCACAGAAAUAGUUCCUUAGGAGCAUGUAGAUCAGAUUCUGAUCAAACAAUAUAUAGACGACCAAUAUCCUUUCUCAGGUGAAAUAAAUACGUGGACAUAAUUUGGGAGGUUUAUGAUAUCCCUGGACAUAAAAGGAGCCUUUGACAGAGCCCGACACAAUAGUCUGAAACCAAAGUGGAUAGGUGGAAAACUGCUACGUUAUUUUAAGGUGCCAAAGCUAUCUUCAUAAGGGGAAGCCUAAAAUAUCAUUCUUUCAAGUUAAUACUUUUAUGUCAUCCAUUAAAGCAUCAACCAUAAGGGUUAGUACUUUGUAUGCUUCUAUUCUUUUUCAUAGAUGAUUUUGUGAACGUCUGCCAAGAUGAGGUUUGUAUUUAUGAGAAUAAGCAAAUGACUCCACGUUGCUUACGCUAGAAAAAUCAACAGGUAAAAGUGGCCUUACGUAAG
rnacentral:lncRNA from 1 species